UGAUUUUGUAGUCAUAAAAUUUAAUUAUCUAAAUUAUAUCAGUCAUUAUAUCUAUAUUUUUAAUAUCUGAAUUAUAUUCAUAUUUAUUUAAAAUAUAUAUGAAUAUAAAUUUUUGUAUCUAAGUAAUAUUCGUAUCCAUACUCAUUAGAUAAAAUAAAUAUAUAUAUAGAUAUGCUGAUAUCUGAUCAGAUUUCAGUCCUAACGCCAAAAUCGUUCGUUCAUC
rnacentral:lncRNA from 1 species